UUCCUGUAUUUUAUCUGGCAAUCCUACAGGAAAAGAACAUAAACAUGGAGAGUGGAGCUUAGUGUACUGCACCUGGGAAGGGUGAUGAUGGCAGGAUGUCUUCAAGGAGCGACUGACAGACAACUAGAAUGAUUCAGACUUGGGCAUUUGGCAGACAUUUUUUGAAAAAGGAACCAAGCGAGCCUGUCACUUCAAGGAAAACAACUGAACCACUGUUCCAACCCACCAUGGCAACCUUUCACAUCCUAACCACAGAAUUAUUUUCAGUUGGAGUGGACGUCUACAGUUGUCAUAUCCUGGGAAAAUAAGGUAUUCUCUCCAUGUUACUGAUUUGAGACCUAGGCAGGAUAAGCCGUCUGUCUGCCAUAAUUCAAGGCUUUGCGUGUAACAGGUUUUCAGAAGGAGUAGGUCUUCAGAGUCUCUUUAGUGAGUAUUAGACUGAACACGGGGAAGUUUGGGACAGUUGUUAUCGCUCCUGAUGGCUUUCCU